UUUACCCGAGCCAAAAUAAAAGUUAUUUUAUUUUAACUUCCCUCCUCUUAGCUUUUUCCCCAAAUAUGCACACGGUUUAAUUUGUUCUUCAUUCUCAUACCUAAGCUAAGGAAGGUAGACAGAAAAUAGUUCUUUAAUUUCUCCCUAAUUUUCCCAAAUUCAAAGUGAAAGAAAGGGUCGCGAGGCUGAAUGUUCACAAAAUCUUCCCAUAUUCAUAAAAUCUCCAUGUUUCACUAAAAGAGAGGAAGUAGACGAAGGUGGUUAAGGCGGUGACGGAGGCUGACUGUUGGAGCAGCGGAACUUCAGGUGGUGGAAGGUUGCUGGAGCGCUGUAACUGCGAAUAUUGAUCUUGCAUUUCGCUGAUUGCUCGAAACUCUGUUUAAGGUGUGGGCAUUGGCCUUGGGAUCCCUGGAAAUGAGAAGGUGACAUGUGUACUUUCUCUGAAAUGUCAAUUGCAGGCUUUAGGUUUCGCUGAGUGUUCAAAAGGGGUUUGACAUCUGCAUUGUUUUAGUUGUUGAUGUUACUUUUGACCUUUCCUAAACAGGGUUACCAUCAUUUGCAUACCAGACUAUUGUGUCGGGAAUCUUUGCAUACCAAAUGGCAAGAAGGAAGAGACUGCUGUUGUUGGGUAAUUGAUGAAAGCCGAAUGCAAAACCACCCGAAGGUGAAAGCCAUGGAGAGUCAUUGAUGGUGGCUGAGAGAGAUUCGUCAAUGGUUAUAGUACUUCUCUGUGCAGCCAUGGGUACUAUUGAUAAGGAUUGUUUCUCUGUUAAAAGCACACUCUUUCAUCUCUUGGCUGGCUGUUCAAGGAAGGCUUAGAACAAGAGAUAGGCUUGUUUCUCUGGAAUGCUGUGACGAUGCAAGUUGUCUGCUUUGUGGUGCAUGGCGAGCUAGAUGGAGAUGAAUGAAGUACAAUGAUUAUAUAUUGUCAUCCAAUAAAUGGAGCGUACACGUCGGUGACUAAUUUUUUUUAGUUCGAGCUUGUGAAGAUUAGGAUUUGUAUUUUGGACGAUUUUUAAUUAGUAAACUUUUAUUAUUUAUUAUUAGUUAGUAUUGGUAGUGUAACAUAUAUAUGGAAACAAUAUUUUGUAAUGUAACGUACAUAUUAUAUACACUUCGUUUA